CUCUCCAAAGCAGCAUGACAUUCAUGGGAGCAAAGACAAAGAGACGAGUACACCUUCCAGCUCAGUUUUCAUCAGCACUGACGCAGACAGUUUUGUGGAUUGGGAGAUCUUUGCCAUUCAAAGCCCUGGGGAUGAUUAAUGCAAUGCCAAUUUACUGAAGUGCUCCAAAAAUAUCAACAUGCGCUUUUCAUGAGGUGCCUUUGGACACAUCACAAACUAUUGAGACCGAGAUGCGAACCAAAAGCCCGAUUGCAGUCCUAUAUGUACAGCUUGUUACUUCGCCAUUCUCUCUUGUUCGGUUGUUCCUGUUUGGGAUCACCAAGUGAAUUCUUCCUUCUGUCGGUAACUGAGGGGGCGCGAUUGAAACGCCAGUUGAAGGUCUCAGUGGGGAACGAACAAUGGUGUCUGGCUUUUCGGGACACCCAAUACACAUCCCAAUCCACAUCGAGACGAGCCUGUGUCUGAUUGAGCACGCUGCCGUCAAUCUGCUUAGCAAACGAGACUCAGAGAGUUUACAGGCAGAAGUUAAGUGUCCUCGACCUGGAUUCUUUUUGCUUUUGAUCCGACUCCUGCCUAUCGACGAUUUUAAGGGCCCCGUCAGUCAUGGAGCGAAUGUCGCGUUGAUACAGUAAUACCCUUGAUGCUGUCAGCUCGCAAACAGUACUUGUGAAGUUUAUAUUAAUGGCACAGUCAGAUAAAUAUUGACAGCGUGCAGUGUGUGUUUUUUUAAAUAAAUAGACUUACAAGGACUUUAGCAGUUUGGAGGCUGAAUACUUUCGCUUUGAAAUGCACAAUAGUAUUGGAAAUUUUGAAGAAGACUGAAAAUUGGGCUCCAUUUAAAAAAGAAUAACACUGAUUUGCCGUCGAGAUCGUGGUCUGGUCAAUUUUGAAUGAAUGCAGUUGUUUUCUGAACUGGUGAUUUUUUAUAUGCACUGAUGGUCCUUUAUCAGAUCGAAACAACUGUUUUUUCCAUAGAAGUUCUUAAAUAGCAUUUUGGGAAACUUGGGACAGGCAGAGUGUCAGAUAAGCCCAAAGAAGAUAGUUUUUUUCGUUUUCUAAAAUCAAGUGCUUGAGGAUUUGCUAGGAGAUAGGCGAUUGAGCCCUUAUUGAGUCCCAUUCCCUUUAAGCCAGUGUACCGCCGUUAUUCUUGGUUCUAACGUGGUUUUGGAAGGAAUUCCAUCCUUACUUUCUCCUUUCCUGUUGUGUGACCAACAUUCGGACAGACGCUACCCGAGAGAGAGUUGACCUCUGUGUAAACGGGUCGGUGGUUCGCAACGCAAAGGGACCCUUGGCUGUUUAUUAGUACUAGCGGAGGCUCCAGACCUCAACCGCAAAGUCGACGAGCGCCGUUGUUACUUGAGGUUACCAUUGUAACCUUCAGUGAAAGAAAGAAGGAGUCGGGUUACACACUCCAGCCUCGGUGCUUGAAGUCGCUGAAGCUCUCGAACGUCUGUCCGCGUUGCUUUGAUGAGCUGUGGCCCUCUCCCCCUUGCCUGCUGCCUUUUACCCUUUCUCAGGUUGGCUACCCUGAAAUACAGGGCAACAAAAUUCCUGAUCGGAAAACGCACCAUAAUUCAAAUUGGCGUGAUAAUGUCUUCCUAAUAGAUUGCCAGUUUGGCGAAUCACCUUCACAGGAAAUAUGAAAGCCCGAAGAGGAAAUAGGUGAGAGUUUAGAGUCGCUGUGUUCUGCUGGAACCCACUGGCGCAGGUUAUAUGAAAUGACCGCAAUAUCAGAUGGGUGGAGUCACAUAACAGAUAAGGGCGAACCUUCAAUGUGGAAGGGUGAACAGUCCUCGCACACUCUCACAGGACCCAAGCUCUGUGGUUAUCAGUUUGGCUUGGAUUUCCAUCAACAUCCUCGGACAACAAUCAACAGUAAGAGAACCCAGCCUUACUAAGUUUCCCUCUUCAGCAACUUUCCAAAUUCAAAGAUUAAGGGAUUCAAACAAUUACCUUCCAAGUGAAAAUGUGUCAUCAAUUAAUCCCGUACGAUC